rnacentral:lncRNA from 1 species
ACCUCCAAUUAUUCAUACAUAUCAAAGGAGGGGCAGAAAAGUAAUUGGACAAAUUAAUAAUGAGGAAGGAAAAAGAGGAGGAGAUCGUGCAGGUGGGGCCCAGGCACAGAAAUAAGAGAAAGAUGAGAGAAGGAAUAUAAAUAGGUUUUUUAGGUCUAGGGGAGGUAGGUUUUAUUUUUAUCCUGAAGUUGGCGGCUGCUUAGCCUAGAGGAAUAUCCAGUCUUUCCCUAGAGGAAGCUGGGUUUGUCUUCAUUAUUCCUUGUUUUUCUUGAAUCUUUAUGUUUUUCUGUACUCAUUUUGGCUAUAUAUAAAUAAAGAUAGCAGAGGGCUACCUCUGUUUUUGGCCAUUGUAAGGGAGAAAUAGUGAAGUAAGCAAGUUGAAUCCUUACAUAUUGGUAUCAGAGCCUCCACACUGGGGGUGAUCACGCGUCUGAUGGCUCAAAGACAGAUAGAAGAACGGGUAGAAGGUACUGAAAAGGAAAUUAUGAGUCUGAAGGAGAUGAUGCUGGAAAUGAAGAAAUCGAUGGAUCGAAUGACAGACGAGCUAAGAGAAAACCAUGGUGCUAAGAAAAAAGAAGAAGCAGGGACUACGGACGACAUCAGGUUGAAACUGAAGGGAAAACUGGAAGAGGCCGGAACCACAGUCGAGUCGGGUGGAAGCAGCGCAGACCGAAGUAAGUACAAAAAAUUAGAAAUGCCACUGUUUACAGGGGUGAACCCUGAAUCCUGGGCGUACCGAGCAGAACAUUUUUUUGAUAUAAAUGACUUACCGGAAGCUGAGAAGGUCAAAGUAGCAGUCGUGAGUUUUGGACAGGAAGAGGUAGACUGGUUUAGAUGGAGUAAUCGUAGAAAGAGGGUGGAAUCUUGGGAGGACUUGAAGGAAAGGAUGUUUGAUUUCUUUAAUGAUACAGGACAGCAGAGCUUGGGGGCAAGAUUAAUCCGUAUUAAGCAAGAAGGCUCAUACAGCGAGUACGUUAAGAAGUUUGUUACAUACUCAGCCCCCCUCCCGGACAUGGCAGAAAGUGUUCUGCUGGAUGCGUUUUUAACGGGUCUGAAACCCUCACUGCAAGCGGAAGUAAUCAGCAGACACCCUCAAACUUUAGAGGAAUGUAUGAAGGAAGCUCAGCUGGUGAAUGAUAGGAAUAUAGCAUUAAAACUGGCGAUGGAAGAGUUGGAUAUAGUUGAGCCCAAAAGGAAUGAGAACAGCAGCAAAUUUCAAGGAAAAAAUGAGAAGACAGAAAGUAAAAAGACAGAGUUUGUGAUGAAGCAGGUAACUAUUCCAUUGAAAAAUGAUUACCAGAAAAAAGAUCCCCCAAUUAAACGGCUGUCGGAUACGGAAUUUAGAGCAAGGCUGGAUAAGGGGCUUUGUUUCAGAUGUAAUGAAAAGUACGCCCCAGGCCAUCGAUGUAAAGGGAGAGAAAAAAGAGAGUGGAUGCUCCUUAUACUAAAUGAGGAAGAAGACCACAAAAGGGAAGAGGAUACAGAGGAUGAGGCAAGCGAAGUAAUAGAACUGAAUCAUCUGGAAUUGAAUAUGGAUAACCCUAUUGAAUUGAGGUUGAUCACGGGAGUUACAUCAAAAGGGACGAUGAAAUUAAAAGGACAUGUGAACGGAAGGGAAGUAGUUAUUCUGAUUGACAGCGGGGCGACCAAUAACUUCAUCAGCCAAGUGUUGGUAGAUGAACUACAGCUGAGCAUCGAUCCGGGAACUCGUUUUGGAGUUACCAUUGGGAAUGGCAACCAAUGUGAAGGAAGUGGGAUUUGCAAGAGGGUGAAGGUGAAGUUAAAAGAGUUAACAAUCGUAGCAGAUUUCCUAGCGGUAGAGUUAGGAACGGUAGACUUGGUGCUUGGGAUGCAAUGGCUAGAUUCGACAGGAACCAUGAAGGUUCACUGGCCAUCCCUAACCAUGACGUUUUGGAUGAAGGGUAGAAGAAUAAUCCUAAAAGGUGACCCUUCUCUAACGAAGUCAGAAUGUUCAUUGAGAACCUUAGAGAAAACGUGGCAAUCCGGGGACCAAGGAUUCCUCUUGGAAUUCGAAAACUAUGAAGUAAACUAUGAAGGAGAAUCGGAAACAGAAGCUGAAUUGAAGGGAAAGGAAGAAGGAUUACCCAUGGUUCAGCGAUUGCUCGAGCAAUAUGCAGAUGUCUUUAGGUUGCCCACGGGUUUACCGCCAAGGAGAGCCAUAGACCAUCGCAUUCUGACCGUGGCCGAUCAGAAACCAAUUAAUGUAAGACCAUAUAAGUAUGGCCAUGUACAAAAGGAAGAGAUUGAAAAAUUGGUGUUAGAAAUGUUACAAGCUGGGGUGAUUCGUCCAAGCCGCAGCCCAUAUUCGAGCCCGGUCCUCUUAGUGAAGAAAAAAGAUGGAGGGUGGAGAUUUUGUGUAGAUUACAGGAAACUCAAUCAAGUAACGGUGGCUGAUAAAUUUCCAAUUCCCGUGAUCGAAGAACUCUUAGAUGAACUUCAUGGUGCGACAGUUUUCUCAAAGUUAGACCUUAAAUCUGGAUACCACCAGAUUAGGAUGAGGGAGGAAGAUGUGGAGAAAAUAGCUUUCCGCACGCAUGAAGGACAUUAUGAGUUCUUGGUGAUGCCUUUCGGCCUUACGAAUGCUCCUGCCACCUUCCAAUCUCUCAUGAACGAGGUGUUCAAACCAUUCCUUCGAAGGUGUGUCCUGGUUUUUUUUUAUGACAUUCUAGUUUAUAGUGUGGACAUAGAUGAGCACAUGAAACAUUUAGGAAUGGUUUUUGCUAUCUUGAGGGACCAUGAAUUGUUUGCAAAUAGGUCUAAAUUUGUCAUUGCUCAUUCCCAAGUUCAAUAUUUGGGUCAUCUGAUUUCCAGCAGAGGAGUGGAGGCUGAUGAGGACAAGAUUCGCAGUAUGGUAAAUUGGCCACGGCCGAAAGAUAUAACUGGGCUGAGGGGAUUCCUUGGACUGACUGGGUAUUAUAGAAGAUUUGUGAAAAGCUAUGGAGAAAUAGCUGCACCCUUAACCAAAUUACUUCAGAAAAAUGCAUUCCAUUGGAAUAAGGAAGCUACAAUAGCGUUUGACCAGCUGAAGCUAGCAAUGACAACCUUACCGGUAUUAGCAUUGCCGGAUUGGUCUCAGCCCUUCACAAUCGAAACUGAUGCUUCAGGAGUAGGUUUAGGUGCAGUUUUAUCACAGAAUGGUCAUCCCAUCGCAUUCUUCAGCAAGAAACUGUCCCCAAGAGCCCAGGGUAAGUCGAUCUAUGAAAGGGAAUUGAUGGCGGUUGUCCUUUCGGUGCAAAAAUGGAGACAUUAUCUCCUGGGCAGAAAGUUCACAAUUGUUUCAGAUCAGAAGGCUCUGAAAUUUCUGUUAGAACAGAGGGAAGUUCAGCCUCAAUUCCAAAAGUGGCUCACAAAACUUUUGGGGUAUGACUUUGAGAUCUUAUACCAGCCGGGUCUGCAGAAUAAGGUGGCGGAUGCUCUCUCAAGGAAGGACCAUUCGGUGGAGUUAAAUACAAUGACAACCACAGGCAUAGUUGAUAUAGAGAUAAUAGCGAAGGAAGUUGAAAUGGAUCAAUAACUUCAGAAAAUUAUUGCCGAACUUAAGGGAGAGGUGGAUCAAGGUGGGAAAUACCAGUGGAACAAUGGCAGGCUGCUAUAUAAAGGAAGGAUGGUGCUGCCGCGAAAUUCCUCCCUCAUUCCGAGUCUUCUACACACGUUCCAUGAUUCCAUAUUAGGAGGGCACUCGGGAUUCUUGAGAACCUAUAAAAGAAUGAGUGGGGAACUAUUUUGGAAAGGAAUGAAGGCUGAUAUCAAGAGAUAUGUAGAAGAAUGUGACACUUGUCAACGUAAUAAGUUCGAAGCUACAAAGCCUGCGGGAGUUCUGCAACCCAUUCCUAUCCCCGACAAGAUAUUGGAGGAUUGGACCAUGGAUUUUAUUGAAGGGCUGCCAAUAGCAGGAGGUUACAACGUGAUUAUGGUAGUCGUCGACCGCCUAAGUAAGUACUCCUACUUCUUGUCUCUGAAACACCCGUACACAGCCAAGCAAGUGGCUUCAAUUUUUUUGGAAAAAGUGGUCAGCAAACAUGGAAUACCCAAGUCCAUUAUUACCGACCGUGAUAAGAUCUUCCUUAGCAAUUUCUGGAAGGAGUUGUUCACUACCAUGGGCACCAUUUUGAAGAGAAGCACGACAUUCCAUCCCCAAACCGAUGGACAAAUCGAGAGGGUAAACAGAUGCCUAGAGACCUAUUUGAGAUGCUUUUGCAAUGAACAACCGAAGAAAUGGGAUAAACUGAUCCCUUGGGCGGAAUUAUGGUAUAACACAACCUUCCACGCAUCCACCAAAACUACUCCUUACCAAUCUGUUUUUGGAAGAACUCCCCCGCCACUGCUGUCAUAUGGAUGGAAGCAAUCUCCUAACAAUGACGUAGAAGUCAUGUUGAAGGAGAGAGAUUUAGCACUCAAUGCACUGAAGGAAAACCUAUGCAUAGCUCAAAAUAGAAUGAAGAAAAUGGCAGACCGAAACCGCAGGGAGCUCAAAUUCAAAAUUGGGGAUGAAGUGUAUUUGAAACUACGACCCUAUCGACAAAGAUCACUAGCUCGGAAGAAAUGUGAAAAGCUAUCCCCAAAAUUUUAUGGGCCGUAUGAGGUUAUUGAAGAGAUAGGAGAGGUCGCUUAUCGAUUGCAACUACCGCCCGAGGCCGCCAUUCACAAUGUCUUUCACGUGUCUCAACUGAAACUGAAGUUGGGAAAACAACAUGUAGUCCAGCAACAACAGCCUAUACUAACUGAGGAUUUUGAACUACAAUUGUGGCCGGAAAACGUGCUGGGAAUAAGGUGGAACAAGGAGCUAAGAGGCAAUGAGUGGCUGAUCAAAUGGAAGAACUUACCAGACAGUGAAGCAACGUGGGAAUCAGUUUACCUAUUGAAUCAGCAGUUCCCUCAGUUUCACCUUGAGGACAAGGUGAACUUGGAGCCUCGGGGUAUUGUAAGACCUCUAAUUAUUCAUACAUAUCAAAGGAGGGGCAGAAAAGUAAUUGGACAAAUUAAUAAUGAGGAAGGAAAAAGAGGAGGAGAUCGUGCAGGUGGGGCCCAGGCACAGAAAUAAGAGAAAGAUGAGAGAAGGAAUAUAAAUAGGUUUUUUAGGUCUAGGGGAGGUAGCUUUUAUUUUUAUCCUGAAGUUGGCGGCUGCUUAGCCUAGAGGAAUAUCCAGUCUUUCCCUAGAGGAAGCUGGGUUUUGAUAGAACUAAGUCGUGCACAGCGGAAAAAGAAUCGAUUUUCUACCCUAAUUGCCACAAUUAACAUGUAACCAUAAACUAAUCAAAUUAGGGUUUUAAGAAGUAUUACCUUUGAAGCUUUCAAAAGGUUUGAUGUCUUCUUACCAAUUCUACCCGAGACCACCACUAGUACUCAACUGUUAUCCUCUAGACAAAGAACCGGGUUGUGGGACCCAAUUUUGGUGUAGAAAGUAAUGGAGAUAAAAUGAGAUUGGAAGCUUUCUUUUUUCUUUUGUUGAGAUUAUGAAAAAUGAUAAAAGAGGCAAAAGUUCUUCAACAUUUGAAAACAUCUCUAUUUAUAGCCUAAUUACAUGCAAAAAUGCAUGCAAUUCAAUUGCCAAAUCUCAACACCUAAUAUUCCACUAACAAUUAGUGGAACUUAGUGGGCUAGGUGUCUAUA